ACGCCCACCGGGUCCGCCCCCACGCGGCCGCCUGCACAGGGGGUUCCAGCCACCCGCGCUCUCCCAGGUUUGCCGACCUUACGGGCCCUUCUCCGCCAGCCCUGGCUGGGUCACCCCCACGACCCGGGACUCCCCCGCCGUUCCCUCCCGGGCUGCCUGCAGUGAGGUCCGCUCCUGAGGCCUCAGCCUCGCCGGGGGUAGGGCCCUCUCCCGCCGUCGCCGCAGCUCCUUUCCGUCCCGGGGCCUGGGGGGCACCGUCCCACGGGUGAGGGCCGCCUCCAGCGCCUGGCCCAGCCAUGCGAACGCCUGGAGCCCGCGAGCUGCAGCUGCGGCCCUGAAGGUGCCGCAUAUCCUGCCGAGUGGGUGAAGCGUGGCACUUUGGAAAACAAAUCGGGUGAUCCGCCCACCUCGGCCUCCCAAAGUGCUGGAAUUACAGGCAUGAACCACGGUGCCCGGCUGACACAAGGAACUUUCUAUGAGGUCCUAGGAAUGAAGGAAAACAGGCAAUAAGGCAAGAAUCGCUGUCGAAGGAGUCUGCGCCACCUGCUCGCACAGCUCACUUGUGCCUUCUGAGCCUGCUGGAGCCCAGUGUACAUAUGCCGUCUCCGCGUGAUUAGAGAUUGCUGCUGCACGUGCCCAAUCCCGUGGCGGGGCUGGAACACAAACGGGGUGGUGUUCCAGCUGCAACCAUGCAGAUGAAGACUAUACCCUAGGAGAUGGAGGAACAACAGACAAGAAAGAAACCUGGGUUCCUGAAUAACCACGUGGAGCCAAGCAGCUUACUUAUCUCAAGCCACUGUUGCCCACCUCCAGAUUGGUUCGUGAGAUAGAAAUAAGCUUCUAUCCUUUUUGCAUGACUGCAUUUUGGGGUCUGUGUUAUAGCAGCUUAAUCUCUAUCUGAAUUAUAUUGGAUUUAAGUGUCUGAAGCCCAAUGACUUAACCUUUCCUGAGGCAAAGGCACAGAAGAGCCUAUUUUCCAAAAAUGGGAAAACGAAGACAUAGGAAGGAAAAACCCAACAAAUGGUCAGGAAAUUAUACUGCUAUAGGCUCUUCUCGGAUGAGUGUCUAGUCCUAAUGAGGGGGCUGUGGGAAUUCAAAGACGGAGAAACUGCCUUCAGAUAGAGCUAGUAGGGAAGACCCCUGCAGACAGUGACAUUAAAUUGAAGGUAGAAUUUGGAUAGAUGGACAUGGGGAGGGCAAUUCAAACAAAGGGAACUUGAGCAACAGGGUGGAGGUAGAAAGGUGCCAGAUCUUUUGGGAGAUGCAGAAGUGAUAUCACACAGUUUAAAGCCAGAGUUAAAUAUAAACCGAUACUUAGAAGCUUAAAUUCAACAUGGCAAAUUCACAGGUUUAGUUUCCUAAAAGAUUUUUCAUGUUUUUAUUACAGAACUGUCUGCAAACAAAUCUUUACUUGAUGAGAAGUUUAAAUAUAAUUAAAUCUAGAAUAUUACAUGAAUAUUUUAUUGCUUUAUUAAGUCCUUCAAACAACACAUUUAUUUAUUUAUUUAUUUAUUUAUUUAUUUAUUAUUUUUUUUGAGACAGAGUCUCACUCUGUUGCCUAGGCUGGAGUACAGUGGCACGAUCUCAGCUCACUGCAUCCUCCACCUCCCAGGUUCAAGCGAUUCUCC
rnacentral:lncRNA from 1 species